AUCAUUACAGAGUUCCUGCCCUGACGGGUAGAAACCCCACCCUUGUGUAUUAUAUAUUGUUGCUUUGGCGGGCCGCCCUCACGGGCACCGGCUCACGCUGGCUCGCGCCCGCCGAAGGACCCCAAACUCUGAAGUAUAGUGUCGUCUGAGUACUAUUUAAUAGUUAAAACUUUCAACAACGGAUCUCUUGGUUCUGGCAUCGAUGAAGAACGCAGCGAAAUGCGAUAAGUAAUGUGAAUUGCAGAAUUCAGUGAAUCAUCGAAUCUUUGAACGCACAUUGCGCCCCUUGGUAUUCCGAGGGGCAUGCCUGUUCGAGCGUCAUUUUGACCACUCCCGCUUGCGGGGUCUUGGGCCUUCGCCUCUGGGCGGGCCUUAAAAUCAGUGGCGGUGCCGUCCGGCUCUAAGCGUAGUAAAUCUCCUCGCUAUAGGGUUCCGGAGGGAUGCUGGCCAACAACCCCC
rnacentral:rRNA from 1 species